UUACUCUACGACUGUAGCUUUCAAGAUGAAUACGAAGUCAAUAUUUUUAACUUUUUUGAUUUUGGCCUGCUUACUUGCAGUCGCUUAUAGUUCAGCCAACCCAGGAGGAAACAUUGUCGCAGAGAAAAAUUCCAAUGGGGCUUCUGAUUACAAUCCUCAAGUAUCUACCCCAGACCAGACUCAAGAAAAUCGCAAAUCAUUGGUAUGAUGAAACUACAUUUGUAAGAAUGCAGAGGAACAGAGUACAUAUUUAAA